AUUUUAAAUCUCAAUUCCAAAUCUCACACCUUAACUCUAAACAAUAAGGAAUUAGUUAACCAUAGGGAUAUAAGUGUAUAUUUACCUUUUUAAUGAAACAUUUUGGUCAUUUUGAUCUUUACAAUCUAUAUUUGUGAUAUAAAUUUUUUUAAGGAUAUUUCCCUAUGUAUAAUCAUAUAUCCAUAAAUUAGUCAAAAGCUCAAAUCCUUUGCACAUGUUGUAAAGGUAAGUCUUCAUAGACUUGCCUUGUAUGCACGAUUCUCUUUUUAGUAUGGUAAUAAAUCGCUUGAUUCUUCAAUCUCAAAUUGUUUCUUUAUUUCUAGUAAUACUAUAAAAGUAGUGAUUUGCUAUUGAUUUUUAUUAUGAAUUUUUUUUAGAAUUUAAAGCAAAAAGCAGCAUGCGCUAUCAUGUAUCAUGUAUGGAUAAUGGAUAACUUCAACAUUAUGUAACAAUGCUUUCGUAUUUUACAAGGGCAGAAACUGUAAAGCUACCCGCUUUGAAAAUCAGAAGAAACUCAUCAAAUUGAUGAAUAAUAUAUAAAUAGUUUUAAUGAAAACAUAAUAGUUUUAAAUAUAUUGGGAAACUGAAUGUCAUUUAGAUAACACAUGUAGAAGCGAGCAUGUGAGGAAACAUUUUUUUAUUAUAAGUUAAUUGCUUUUGUAAUAUGCAUCUAUUGAAAUUUGUGUUUUCUCACAUGGGUGAAUUAAUAGUGGAUCUAUUGAUUAUUAAUUACGUAUUUAUUGCGUUCCCGGAACAUAUAUAUUUAUUACUAAUACUUUGGUAAACAAGAUCACAUAUUCACAAAUUUCACGUCAAGAAGGGAGAGAGAUCAAAUCUUAUUCUUAUGCCGACAUAGAUGAUCAUCAACAAUCGAGUUCUCUGAUGCAACUCUUCUCUCUAUCUUCAUCUCAUUUCUUCUCAACCUUCAAGAUCAAGAAAGAUACAUUACUCGGAAUCUCUCUUCUCAUUACUUUCCUAAUCUUCUCCUUCGUCGUCGUUGAUCUUGUCGGCUUCGAGCCUCAUCUCUCUUUUGGAUUUUUAGACCAUCUUUAACGCUGGUGUUAAAGAGGGUUCUUAAAGAAAUAAACUCAUUAAAUUAAAUGUAAAUGAUAUUAGAAGGAGAUAAUCGAUCCUUAUUUUGGUAAUUUGGGGACCGAUUAUAACGUGGGUUUUGUUCCACGUGUCAAACAGAAAAGACAUCAUUUAUUUUUUUUUCUUCUCUCCUUUCUCUCUUUCUUCUUUCUUGUCUUUUGGUUUUCUCGUUUUCUCCGAAGGGAAGAGAAACGAUCGGCGACUCUCUCGCUGCUGUCGCCGUUUCCUCCGUCUUCUCUCCUCUUCGCCGUCUCCUCCGUCUUCUCUCCUCUUCGCCGUCCGAAGAACGAUGAAAACCCACCACGCUCGACGACUCUCUCGCUUCUGACGGUGUCUCCUCCGUCUUCUCUCAUCUUCGCCGUCUUCGUAACAAUGGAAACCCACCACGAUCAACGACUCUCUUGCUCCGAAUGGCGUCUUUUCCAUCUUCUCUCGUCUCCGCACGGUCUCUUCCAUCGCUCUUUCAGAUGUCUCUCACGAUCUCUUCAACUUCGAGAUCAACUACCCAAGAAAUCGAAGAAAGAUUUCUCUAUCGGCUAUUGUGGAGAGGAAGAAGUCUCCCAAGAGACUUGUCGUCGAUGAAGCCAUCAAUGAUGAUAACUUCGUUGCAUCUCUCCACCCUGCCACCAUGGAGAAGCUCAAGCUCUUCCGAUGUGAUACCAUUAUCAUCAAGAUUGGGUCUUUUUCCUUCUUUUCACUCUGUUGAAUGAGAUUUUAAUUAGAGUUUUGUAGGUAAUUGAAAUCACUGAUUAAAUUAGGUGUUAUGAAUAUGAAGACACUUGUUUUUUGAUUAUAUGGUUCGUGAUUACACUGAGUGCAUUGCUAAUUUGGUUUGCAUUGAUGAAUCAUGCGAGGAGGCAAAGAUCAGAAUGCAUCGGGAGUGAGAACUUGAGGAGCCAAAGACAGCUUAUUUCUUGGAGGCGAAUCACCCCAUGUCGGUUAGAGAGGAUGUCACGAGGCCGUAUGUGACCAGAGAGGAUGUCGCGAGAGGCCGUAUGUGACCAGAGAGGAUGUUACGAGAAGGAAGUCACAAGCGUUGUCUGUAUGUGUCACAAGAGAUGGAAGUCACAAGAGUUGUCCGUAUGUGUCAUAAGAUGUAUGUCAUUUGAGUGGUCCGUAUGUGUCACAAGAUGUAUAUGUCACUUCGGUUGUAUGUAUGUGUCACAAGAGUGGUCGAGUGAAACAUUGAUUUUAUAAAGUCUAUGCUUGUCUAUAUAAUCACAAAUGCUUCUUCUUUACUU